GAUGAACGCUAGCUACAGGCUUAACACAUGCAAGUCGAGGGGCAGCAUUUUAGUUUGCUUGCAAACUAAAGAUGGCGACCGGCGCACGGGUGAGUAACACGUAUCCAACCUGCCGAUAACUCGGGGAUAGCCUUUCGAAAGAAAGAUUAAUAUCCGAUAGUAUAUUAAAACCGCAUGGUUUUACUAUUAAAGAAUUUCGGUUAUCGAUGGGGAUGCGUUCCAUUAGUUGUUGGCGGGGUAACGGCCCACCAAGACUACGAUGGAUAGGGGUUCUGAGAGGAAGGUCCCCCACAUUGGAACUGAGACACGGUCCAAACUCCUACGGGAGGCAGCAGUGAGGAAUAUUGGUCAAUGGACGAGAGUCUGAACCAGCCAAGUAGCGUGAAGGAUGACUGCCCUAUGGGUUGUAAACUUCUUUUAUAUGGGAAUAAAGUAUUCCACGUGUGGGAUUUGUANGUACCAUAUGAAUAAGGAUCGGCU
rnacentral:rRNA from 1 species